rnacentral:rRNA from 1 species
CCUACGGGGGGCAGCAGUGGGGGAUAUUGCACAAUGGGGGAAACCCUGAUGCAGCAACGCCGCGUGAGUGAAGAAGGUCUUCGGAUUGUAAAGCUCUGUUCUUGGUGAAGAUAAUGACGGUACCCGACCAAGAAGCCCCGGCUAACUACGUGCCAGCAGCCGCGGUAAUACGUAGGGGGCGAGCGUUAUCCGGAAUUACUGGGUGUAAAGGGAGCGUAGACGGCGAGGUAAGCCUGAAGUGGAAGCCCGCGGCCCAACCGCGGAACUGCUUUGGGAACUGUUUUGCUGGAGUAUGGGAGGGGUAAGCGGAAUUCCUGGUGUAGCGGUGAAAUGCGUAGAUAUCAGGAGGAACACCGGUGGCGAAGGCGGCUUACUGGACCAUAACUGACGUUGAGGCUCGAAAGCGUGGGGAGCGAACAGGAUUAGAUACCCUAGUAGUC